rnacentral:tRNA from 1 species
GGCGGCGUAGCUCAGUGGUAGAGCGAAGGACUCAUAAGCCUUAUGUCGGGGGUUCGAAUCCCUCCGCCGCUACCA